UACGAAGGGGGCUAGCGUUGUUCGGAAUUACUGGGCGUAAAGCGCACGUAGGCGGCUUGGUAAGUUAGAGGUGAAAGCCUGGAGCUCAACUCCAGAAUUGCCUUUAAGACUGCCGAGCUAGCAGGUGAGAGAGGUGAGUGGAAUUCCGAGUGUAGAGGUGAAAUUCGUAGAUAUUCGGAAGAACACCAGUGGCGAAGGCGGCUCACUGGCUCAUACUGGACGCUGAGGUGCGAAAGCGUGGGGAGCAUACAGG
rnacentral:rRNA from 1 species